ACUAAGCGUACACGGUGGAUGCCCUGGCAGUCAGAGGCGAUGAAGGACGUGCUAAUCUGCGAUAAGCGUCGGUAAGGUGAUAUGAACCGUUAUAACCGGCGAUUUCCGAAUGGGGAAACCCAGUGUGUUUCGACACACUAUCAUUAACUGAAUCCAUAGGUUAAUGAGGCGAACCGGGGGAACUGAAACAUCUAAGUACCCCGAGGAAAAGAAAUCAACCGAGAUUCCCCCAGUAGCGGCGAGCGAACGGGGAGCAGCCCAGAGCCUGAAUCAGUGUGUGUGUUAGUGGAAGCGUCUGGAAAGGCGCGCGAUACAGGGUGACAGCCCCGUACACAAAAAUGCACAUGCUGUGAGCUCGAUGAGUAGGGCGGGACACGUGGUAUCCUGUCUGAAUAUGGGGGGACCAUCCUCCAAGGCUAAAUACUCCUGACUGACCGAUAGUGAACCAGUACCGUGAGGGAAAGGCGAAAAGAACCCCGGCGAGGGGAGUGAAAAAGAACCUGAAACCGUGUACGUACAAGCAGUGGGAGCACGCUUAGGCGUGUGACUGCGUACCUUUUGUAUAAUGGGUCAGCGACUUAUAUUCUGUAGCAAGGUUAACCGAAUAGGGGAGCCGAAGGGAAACCGAGUCUUAACUGGGCGUUAAGUUGCAGGGUAUAGACCCGAAACCCGGUGAUCUAGCCAUGGGCAGGUUGAAGGUUGGGUAACACUAACUGGAGGACCGAACCGACUAAUGUUGAAAAAUUAGCGGAUGACUUGUGGCUGGGGGUGAAAGGCCAAUCAAACCGGGAGAUAGCUGGUUCUCCCCGAAAGCUAUUUAGGUAGCGCCUCGUGAAUUCAUCUCCGGGGGUAGAGCACUGUUUCGGCAAGGGGGUCAUCCCGACUUACCAACCCGAUGCAAACUGCGAAUACCGGAGAAUGUUAUCACGGGAGACACACGGCGGGUGCUAACGUCCGUCGUGAAGAGGGAAACAACCCAGACCGCCAGCUAAGGUCCCAAAGUCAUGGUUAAGUGGGAAACGAUGUGGGAAGGCCCAGACAGCCAGGAUGUUGGCUUAGAAGCAGCCAUCAUUUAAAGAAAGCGUAAUAGCUCACUGGUCGAGUCGGCCUGCGCGGAAGAUGUAACGGGGCUAAACCAUGCACCGAAGCUGCGGCAGCGACGCUKAUGCGUUGUUGGGUAGGGGAGCGUUCUGUAAGCCUGCGAAGGUGUGCUGUGAGGCAUGCUGGAGGUAUCAGAAGUGCGAAUGCUGACAUAAGUAACGAUAAAGCGGGUGAAAAGCCCGCUCGCCGGAAGACCAAGGGUUCCUGUCCAACGUUAAUCGGGGCAGGGUGAGUCGACCCCUAAGGCGAGGCCGAAAGGCGUAGUCGAUGGGAAACAGGUUAAUAUUCCUGUACUUGGUGUUACUGCGAAGGGGGGACGGAGAAGGCUAUGUUGGCCGGGCGACGGUUGUCCCGGUUUAAGCGUGUAGGCUGGUUUUCCAGGCAAAUCCGGAAAAUCAAGGCUGAGGCGUGAUGACGAGGCACUACGGUGCUGAAGCAACAAAUGCCCUGCUUCCAGGAAAAGCCUCUAAGCAUCAGGUAACAUCAAAUCGUACCCCAAACCGACACAGGUGGUCAGGUAGAGAAUACCAAGGCGCUUGAGAGAACUCGGGUGAAGGAACUAGGCAAAAUGGUGCCGUAACUUCGGGAGAAGGCACGCUGAUAUGUAGGUGAAGUCCCUYGCGGAUGGAGCUGAAAUCAGUCGAAGAUACCAGCUGGCUGCAACUGUUUAUUAAAAACACAGCACUGUGCAAACACGAAAGUGGACGUAUACGGUGUGACGCCUGCCCGGUGCCGGAAGGUUAAUUGAUGGGGUYAGCGCAAGCGAAGCUCUUGAUCGAAGCCCCGGUAAACGGCGGCCGUAACUAUAACGGUCCUAAGGUAGCGAAAUUCCUUGUCGGGUAAGUUCCGACCUGCACGAAUGGCGUAAUGAUGGCCAGGCUGUCUCCACCCGAGACUCAGUGAAAUUGAACUCGCUGUGAAGAUGCAGUGUACCCGCGGCAAGACGGAAAGACCCCGUGAACCUUUACUAUAGCUUGACACUGAACAUUGAGCCUUGAUGUGUAGGAUAGGUGGGAGGCUUUGAAGUGUGGACGCCAGUCUGCAUGGAGCCGACCUUGAAAUACCACCCUUUAAUGUUUGAUGUUCUAACGUKGACCCGURAUCCGGGUUGCGGACAGUGUCUGGUGGGUAGUUUGACUGGGGCGGUCUCCUCCUAAAGAGUAACGGAGGAGCACGAAGGUUGGCUAAUCCUGGUCGGACAUCAGGAGGUUAGUGCAAUGGCAUAAGCCAGCUUGACUGCGAGCGUGACGGCGCGAGCAGGUGCGAAAGCAGGUCAUAGUGAUCCGGUGGUUCUGAAUGGAAGGGCCAUCGCUCAACGGAUAAAAGGUACUCCGGGGAUAACAGGCUGAUACCGCCCAAGAGUUCAUAUCGACGGCGGUGUUUGGCACCUCGAUGUCGGCUCAUCACAUCCUGGGGCUGAAGUAGGUCCCAAGGGUAUGGCUGUUCGCCAUUUAAAGUGGUACGCGAGCUGGGUUUAGAACGUCGUGAGACAGUUCGGUCCCUAUCUGCCGUGGGCGCUGGAGAACUGAGGGGGGCUGCUCCUAGUACGAGAGGACCGGAGUGGACGCAUCACUGGUGUUCGGGUUGUCAUGCCAAUGGCACUGCCCGGUAGCUAAAUGCGGAAGAGAUAAGUGCUGAAAGCAUCUAAGCACGAAACUUGCCCCGAGAUGAGUUCUCCCUGACCCUUUAAGGGUCCUGAAGGAACGUUGAAGACGACGACGUUGAUAGGCCGGGUGUGUAAGCGCAGCGAUGCGUUGAGCUAACCGGUACUAAUGAACCGUGAGGCUUAACC
rnacentral:rRNA from 1 species